CCUACGGGUGGCAGCAGUGGGGAAUAUUGCUCAAUGGGGGAAACCCUGAUGCAGCGACGCCGCGUGAGUGACGAAGUAUUUCGGUAUGUAAAGCUCUAUCAUCAGGGAAGAAAAUGACGGUACCUGAUUCAGAAGCCCCGGCUAACUACGUGCCAGCAGCCGCGGUAAUACGUAGGGGGCAAGCGUUAGCCGGAUGUACUGGGUGUAAAGGGAGCGUAGACGGCAGCACAAGUCUGGAGUGAAAUGCCGGGGCUUAACCCCGGAACUGCUUUGGAAACUGUGCAGCUGGAGUGCAGGAGAGGUAAGUGGAAUGCCUGGUGUAGCGGUGAAAUGCGUAGAUAUUAGGAGGAACACCAAUGGCGAAGGCGGCUUACUGGACUGUAACUGACGUUGAGGCACGAAAGCGUGGGUAGCAAACAGGAUUAGAUACCCGUGUAGUC
rnacentral:rRNA from 1 species